rnacentral:rRNA from 1 species
AUAGGUUAAUGAGGCGAACCGGGGGAACUGAAACAUCUAAGUACCCCGAGGAAAAGAAAUCAACCGAGAUUCCCCCAGUAGCGGCGAGCGAACGGGGAGCAGCCCAGAGCCUGAAUCAGUGUGUGUGUUAGUGGAAGCGUCUGGAAAGGCGCGCGAUACAGGGUGACAGCCCCGUACACAAAAAUGCACAUGCUGUGAGCUCGAUGAGUAGGGCGGGACACGUGGUAUCCUGUCUGAAUAUGGGGGGACCAUCCUCCAAGGCUAAAUACUCCUGACUGACCGAUAGUGAACCAGUACCGUGAGGGAAAGGCGAAAAGAACCCCGGCGAGGGGAGUGAAAAAGAACCUGAAACCGUGUACGUACAAGCAGUGGGAGCACGCUUAGGCGUGUGACUGCGUACCUUUUGUAUAAUGGGUCAGCGACUUAUAUUCUGUAGCAAGGUUAACCGAAUAGGGGAGCCGAAGGGAAACCGAGUCUUAACUGGGCGUUAAGUUGCAGGGUAUAGACCCGAAACCCGGUGAUCUAGCCAUGGGCAGGUUGAAGG